rnacentral:lncRNA from 1 species
GGAAAUGUUUUUUUUUUUUUUUAGUGGUAGCCAGAGUUCGAACCCCGGAUCUUACAUAUUUUAUGCAUUGUUCAUACCAACUGAGCUAAACUCACGAGAACAAACAUUGAAAAUGUUUGUAAGCCCUAACUCAACUAAAAAUGUAAUAAUGUUCAUAAUAAUGUUUUUACUUUUAUAAUUUAUUUUAAAAUUUGUUUAUUAUUCUAUGGAUGAAACAUGUAUUAUUAUUUUUAUUAUUAUUAUUAAUUAUAUGCACCUAGUUUUACUACGAAUAUAAAAGAUAUCACAAGAAAGAAUGUCACAAAAAAUAAUAAUAAAAUACUUUAAUCCAUAAAUGCAAUAUAUGAUUAUUUGGAUUAAUUUUUUAUUCUGAUUCUGCAUUUACUAUGAUUUUAGAAAAACAUUGGAAAUGUUUUUUUUUUUUUUAGUGGUAGCCAGGGUUCGAACCCCGGAUCUUACAUAUUUUAUGCAUUGUCCAUACCAACUAAGUUAAACUCACGAGGACAAACAUUAAAAAUGUUUGUAAGGCCUAACUCAACUAAAAAUGUUGAGAUUGUUAGAAAGAAUAUUUUUCUUGGUUAUUCAGGUUUGAACUCGUAAUAUCCCUUUAUGCUUUUCAAAUUAUGUCUGUCAUCUCAUCUACAGACCAAAAAAAUCAUUGAAAGAGUUAAACUUAAGUUUUUAUGUUGUACCAAAAAUAAAUCUUAUGCUUUUAUGUCAUAAAUUCAUACAAAUAAUUUAUUAUAGACAUUAAAACCAUAACAAUCCACAUACGAUGCAUGUAAUGUAUAUCUUUAAUAGAUUUAUAAUAUAUAAAAUUUAUGACAUGUGUCUCUUUUUCCACCCUUUGG